UACGUAGGUCCCGAGCGUUGUCCGGAUUUAUUGGGCGUAAAGCGAGCACAGGUGGUUUAUUAAGUCUGGUGUAAAAAGCAGUGGCUCAACCAUUGUAUGCAUUGGAAACUGGUAGACUUGAGUGCAGGAGAGGAGAGUGGAAUUCCAUGUGUAGCGGUGAAAUGCGUAGAUAUAUGGAGGAACACCGGUGGCGAAAGCGGCUCUCUGGCCUGUAACUGACACUGAGGCUCGAAAGCGUGGGGAGCAAACAGG
rnacentral:rRNA from 1 species